rnacentral:rRNA from 1 species
AUGUCCGACGCCGACGGCCGCGUGCUCUGGAACACGACCCUCGCGGGCAGUUCAUCACCACAGGCGCCGGCAGCGGCCGUGCUGACGAACGAGGGCAACCUGGUCGUCCAGCAAGCGAACGGCCCCGCGUUGUGGCAGAGCUUCGACCACCCGACGGACACGUUCAUUCCGGGGAUGAGGAUGCGGCUGAGCCACCGGACGGGCAAGGGCGACCGCAUCGUGUCCUGGAAAUCCCCCGGCGACCCUGCGCCGGGGCGCUUUUCCUACGGCCUGGAUCCCAGCACGUCGCUGCAGCUGCUCAUGUGGAACGGGACGCGCCCCUACUGGCGCACUCCCAUCUGGGAGGGGUACGCCGUGACCAGCCUGUACGUCAACGCCGGCACGGUAAUCUACACGGCGCUAGUCGACACGGACGAGGAGAUCUCCAUGGCGUUAACCGUCUCCGACGGCGCGGCGCCCACGCGGUACUUGGUGACCAGCUCCGGCAGGUUGCAACUCCUCAACUGGAACGGCACCUUGUCGGCAUGGGUCACGGCCCAGUCGUGGCCGCCGAGCGGGUGCAGCACAUACAGUCGCUGCGGCGCGUACGGGUACUGCGACGUCACAGCGGCGCCCGCGGCGUGCAGGUGCCUGGACGGCUUCGAGCCGGCGAGCACGGCGGACUGGAGCGCCGGCAGGUUCGAGCAGGGGUGCCAGCGAAAGCAGGCGUUGCCGCAAUGCGGCGGAAUCGGGAUAGGUUUCGUGGCGAUGCCGAGCAUGAAGGUGCCGGACAGGUUCUCGAUCGACUCCGACAACCGGAGCGCGGGGGAGUGCGCGGCCAGGUGCGCCGCAACUUGCUCGUGCGUGGCAUAUGCGUACACCAACGUGCAGAGCAGCAGCGCCAAGGACGAACUGAUCAAGUGCGUGGUGUGGGCAGGGGAGCUCGUCGACGCGCAGAUGAUUGGCCCGCGCUGGGGCGGCGAGACGCUCUACCUCCGCGUGCCCGUUGCUGCUGCCUCCACAGUGCCGGUGUUAGCCCUGCCGAACACAGGUAGAAAGUCCAGUAGACAUGCAGUAAAGAUAGCCCUGCCGGUGUUAGCAGCCGUCCUGCUGCUCACAUGCAUUUUCUUUGUAUGGUUCUGGAGAUUCAGAGUCAAGGGAAGAAAAACCGAGAGCCAAAAUAAGACCACGGACACGUUGAGCAAAAUCAGAGGAGAUGACACCGGAAACCUUGAGUUCCCGUCCAUACGGUUCGCCGACAUUGUCGCCGCCACGGACAACUUCUCCAAAACACACAUGAUCGGACGCGGAGGGUUCGGCAAGGUCUACAAGGGAACGUUGGAAGGCGGUCAUGUGAUUGCUGUGAAAAGACUGAGCAAGGACUCAGAUCAGGGAGCAGAGGAGUUCAUGAACGAGGCCAUUCUGAUAGCCAAGCUGCAGCACCGGAACCUGGUCCGCUUGCUCGUCUGCUGCACCGAGGGGGCCGAGAAGCUGCUCAUCUACGAGUACCUCCCCAACAAGGGCCUCAACGCCAUCCUCUUCGACAGCGCGAGAAAAGCGGUGCUGGGCUGGCCGACGCGGCUGGGGAUCAUCAAGGGGGUGGCUAGGGGGCUGCUCUACCUGCACCAGGACUCGAGGCUGACGGUGAUACACCGGGACCUCAAGGCCAGCAACGUGCUGCUGGACGCCGAGAUGCGGCCCAAGAUGGCCGACUUCGGCAUGGCCAAGAUCUUCGGCGACAACCAGGUCAAAGCCAACACCCGGAAAGUCGUCGGAACAUAUGGCUACAUUGCUCCUGAGUACUCGACGCAGGGCGUCUUCUCCGUCAGAUCUGACGUGUACAGCUUCGGCGUGCUGCUGCUUGAGAUCGUGAGCGGCAUCAGGAUAAGCGCAAUGGACGGCAUCAUGGAGUGUCCUAGCCUGACAGUCUAUGCAUGGAGCCUGUGGGGGGAAGGGAAGGCAGGUAAGCUGGUGGAUCCAUCCAUGGCAGAGAGCUGUUCGCAGGAUGAGGCCAUGCUCUGCAUCCACGUCGGCCUCCUGUGCGUGGAGGACGACCCGAGCAGGAGGCCGCUAAUGUCGUCCGUCGUGUCCAUCUUAGAGAAUGGAAGCGCGCCGGUGGUGGCAUCGGCGUCUCUUCCGGCGCCGAACCAGACAGGGUACCUUAAAAUGAUGGGAGAGAAGAGCCAAAGAAGCAAUCUCGAGAACACGAACGCCAUGACCAUGACCGCUCUUCAGGGACGGUAG